rnacentral:rRNA from 1 species
UACAGAGGUCUCAAGCGUUGUUCGGAUUCAUUGGGCGUAAAGGGUGCGUAGGCGGCGCGGUAAGUCGGGUGUGAAAUCUCGGGGCUUAACUCCGAAACUGCAUUCGAUACUGCCGUGCUUGAGGACUGGAGAGGAGACUGGAAUUUACGGUGUAGCGGUGAAAUGCGUAGAUAUCGUAAGGAACACCAACGGCGAAGGCAGCUCGCUGGGACGUGACUGACGCUGAGACGCGAAAGCGUGGGGAGCAAACAGG